rnacentral:lncRNA from 1 species
AAAAAGAAUGAAAUAAUGUCUUUUGCAGCAACUGGGAUGGAACUGGAGGCUAUUAUUCUAAGUGAAGUAAUUCUGGAAUCAAAAUCUAAAUCCAACAUGUUCUCAUUUACAGGUGGUUUCUAAGCUUAUGGAUAUGCAAGGGCAUACAGAGUGGUAUAAUGUACAUUGGAGACUCAGAAGGCUGGCAAGCAGGAGAGAGGGUGAAUGCCUUCAUCCAUUGGAACCUGAACCAUGAGUAUUUCCUUCUGAGACUUUCAUCAAACUAAGUCUGCAUGAAGCCUGAGUCCUGUGGAGUCUGUGAGUUUGUGUAAUUUGUAGUGAUAGUAUCAGAGUUUACCAGAGGCCUAAUGGAUUGGAAAGUCAGAAUCAGAACAAGCAAAUCUACCCUCAUCCAGCACCAGAAUUAAAAGUUCUCAAAAUUGCGCACAUGGGAAUUAAAUUUCUCCACAUUAGAAACAGAUGCCUUCAAAUAACUGAUUUUUCCAUUGCCCCAACGUGUAAGUGCCUUUUUAUUGUGCUCAUUUUGUCAUCAGUAGAAGGACGCUUGAGUUCAGUACUUGGAAGAGUGGAAGGGUGCAGUAUUCCUUGGGCCCUGUCCCUUUACGUUUCAUGGUAUGCCAGGGAUGUCUGUGUUUACUACCUCCAACCAAUGCAAGAACAUACCUGAACAACCCAAACUCCUGACUGGGGCUAAUUGGAGUUAGUGACAGAGAAGAACACUAUUUUACAGUGUUGGGUAUUUUUGUUGUUGCUCUGGAGGUUGGGAGGGAUUAGUCUUUGUCAGGAGAUAGGAUUUAGCAGAAUAUAUCUAUUUAUAUCUUGUUUUAUCUAUUACAUCUCCAUCCUAUUGACUUCUUUCCUGAACCGGAAUUAAGCAAUGAAUGCUGUUUGGGCAUUUUUAGUGUGGCUGUUCAUUAUUACCUGGAUAAUUCAGAGUACUUCUAGGUCAUGACAUAAAAAUGCUGUUAUUUGUAUUAGCUUACAGAUACUGUUGGUCUGUCUCCAAUGUUGUUGUUUUUCAAAUUCCAGGAGUAACAGGAUGGAAGGUUGCAGAGCUCUAAGUAAUAAGUAAAGUGGCCUGGGAUACUGAACAUAGGGAGUGGUGGAGAUUGAGGCAAACUAGACAGAUAGCUAUGCCUUGUUUAAAGGGGCUGCCUGUGUUGUAUUACAUCUGGUUGUUGUCCUGUGAAAAUGCAGGCCAGAUGUGGCCAAAUCUUCCUGUUUUUCAAACCAAGUGGUAGAAAUUUGAAUUUUUACAAGCAGUCUCCCAAUUUUUAUUGUGACAACUAGUUCAGAUUACGAAAAAUAUUUAUGGGCCAAGUAAAAUACCACCUGUUUUCAGCCUCUAGUGUAGGAUAUAUGAAGCCAGCUUGUUCUUCAGGUAGCAGGUGGUGCUUACAGGUCAUCUCUACUGAGGCAUCGUUGGUGAAGUCCUCUAAGACUCAGCUCUGGGAUCCUCUGUAGUGAAUGGCUCUCAUAGUUGCAGGAAAAACCCAGGUCCAAAUGACACCCACAGUUGACCACAGUUUUACCUAAUUAAGUAAAAAACUUUUUUUAAAAAAAUAAUUUAUUUUGUUAUCCUGUUACCAGUACUUUCAAAUACUUAAGAAAAAAAUCAAUAUUAAAGUAUCAGUUUUGCAAUCCAGAGGAUAUUUGUACUUUUUCAAAAAAAUUUAAAAAUUAGAAAAAAGAUAACAUAUUGGCCUCCUGCCUUUUAAAUAUUUAAGGGAUGAAUCAGACUUUCAGAUGUGCUUAAAUUGGUACCUAGAGACCUAAUGGAGGUUUCUUAUUUUCUUCACUGGUAAGAUUUUGUCAUUCAUUCCAGUAGAUACUUUUAAGCAACCUUUUUAUUUUAGAGCAGCUUUAGAGAUAAAGUUAUGAAUAUAGUACAGCGAGUCCCCCUAUACGCCAAACCCAGUUUCCCCUUAUUAUUACCAUCUUAUAUUAAUUAAUGAGCCAGUAAUGAUGCAUUGUUAUGAACUACAGUCCAUACUUUAUUCAGAUUUCCUUAGUGUUUACCUGCUGUUCUUUUUCUAUUCUGGGACUCUAUCCAGAAUAUCACAUUGCAUUCAUUGUCAUGUCUCCCUUGGCUCCUCUUGGCUGUGACAGUUUCUCAGACUCCUCUUGCUUUUGAUGAUUUUGACAGUUUUGAGAAGUAUUCCAUAAAACAUCCCUUAGUUGGGAUCUGUCUGAUGUUUUUUUCUCAUGAUUAUGUAUUUUUGGGGAGGAAGUCUAAAGAGGUAAAGUACCAUUCUCCUCAUAUUAAGGGUGUACACUAUUGUGUCAGCAUCAUGUUUUACUGUUGAUGUGAAUCUUGAUCACCUGGCUGAGGUGGUAGUCAUCAGGUUCCUCCAUUGUAAUGGUAUUGAAGGCACUGCGUGCAGCCCAUGUGUGAGUAGGAGUCAUGCUGCACUUCUGUGAGAGGAGAGUAUCUACAUCAACUAUUCGGAAUUCUUCUGCAUAAGAGAUUGGUCUCUUCUCUGUGUAUACAUGCAUGCAUGUAUGUAUGUCAGUAUGGAUAUUUAUUUAUUUUAUACUUUGGAUUAUAAUCUAAUACUUGUUUAUUUCAUUGAUCAGACUGUUGUAGCUUUGGCCAUGGAAGCUCUUUCAGUUGGCUACUGUGUCCCUUUGAUAUACCCCCACUGUUGCAUUGUUGUUGUUUUUGAGUACUUUCUUAAUUUCUGGCACUACAAGAUGCUCAUGCACAUCUUGUAUAUUCCCUGCUCCAGUGCUAGAAUCAAUGAUUUUUUCCAAGGAGCCCUGGUUUCUUUUAUUGGAGACUGUUACUAGAAACCAAGAUCUGCUAUGCUCAUUGCUACUGGGAUGUGUUGCUUCUAGGCUCUUUCAGCUGACAGAGCAAGGAAAUAUGUUGUGUAUAAUAAUCUGUGUAUGUUCACAUAUUUAUAAAUAUUUGUAUUUGUGUCUGUCUAUAUUAAGCCAAAUAUGUGUUUAUACUGAUGACUUCAACUCUUAAUCUGUUACCACAUGGCUCAUUGGAGUUUUCUCUCAUUGCUUCUCUGUAAACUGUCAUUCAAACACUGAGAGAUCUGGCUCCCAAGAGCCACGAUCCAUUUGCAUUGUUCAACUCCAGUAUACAGUAUAAUAGUGAUUUUAGAAUUCCUAACUAAAUACCCUGUGAGAAACAGUUUUAUCCACAGAGCUUAUGCACAGUGCCUUUUGCCUUUAGUCUUACCUACUCCACUUAUUUGUAAGGAUGCUCAGGUCAGCAUCUUUCCCAUUCCAUCACUGAGUGUAUUUUAUACAUUUGCUAGAUUCUUUCACCACAGCCUGCAUUCCAUCUUGGAUUCUCCAACCUCCCAAAUGAUUUUUUACAAUUUGCAUACAUUAAGGUUAGCUCUGUAUUUUGUGGGUUUUGAAAUUUACAAUGUCAUGUAUCCCCCAUUAGAAUAUCAAAGAGAAUACUUUCAUAUCCUAAAAAUCCAAUGUGCUAUAUUUAUUCAACCCUCACCCCUUCCGAAACCCCUGGCAAUGAUUGACCUAUUUACUGUCACUGUAGUUUUGCCUUUUUCAGAAUGUCACACAAAUGUCAUAUAGUACAUAAUCUUUUCCUUGGCUCAACAUCAUAUUUAUGUAUAUGCAUAUAAGAGUUAUCUAUGUUGUUGUGUUUUUGGGGAGGGGAGGGGACAGGGUCGUGCUCUGUCACAUAGGCCCUUGUUUUUGUUUUAGUUUACUUUGGGGUGUGUGUGUGUCAGGGUUUCCCUCUGUCACCCAGGCUGGAGU